rnacentral:lncRNA from 1 species
UUCGUGCAAGAAAAAGUCAAGCUUGCUUAGGUGCUCGAUUUGUUCAAUCAUGUACAAUACAUGAUCGAUGACCGACACCCCUUCUCUCAUCUGAGCAUUAAAGAUAGAAUAAUAAAUCUUAUGCCGCUCAACGUCAUCGAGAGUACCGAAGGAUUCAUUCAACACUUGCAAUAUUUUCUCUAGCUAAGCAUCCUUGAAAUUGUGGCUG